GAGCUGAAGAGAAACCAGCACAUACAAUAGCAUUGUAAGGAUACAGAGAAGAUUAGUUUGGCCCCUGAACAAGGAUAACAAAAAAUAAUGAAAUUAACAUUAGUAUU